rnacentral:lncRNA from 1 species
ACCCCUUCUUUUAGUUUUUGUAGCCAAUGUUUGUGAGGAAAAAAAAAAAACGAAAAGGCAAUGCAUGAAUCAGGUUCAGUUUGUAUAGUUCUCGUACUGUUUUACACACUAUGGACUCCUCGGUGGUCGGUAUUAAGACAACCAAGUAUUUAUUUAGCAUAUAAACCCAAAAAAAAUCCCAAGUAUUUAGCAUGAAUUAGGCCAAGCCAAAGAGUGAUGACUGUGAGUCAACAGGCUCAUACAGCAUGAAGAAAAAAAAAAUCUUUCCUGAAGAAGAAGAAGCUCCAAGUAUCUAAUUCCC